GACGAACGCUGGCGGCGUGCUUAACACAUGCAAGUCGAACGAUGAACUUGGAGCUUGCUCUGGGGGAUUAGUGGCGAACGGGUGAGUAACACGUGAGUAACCUGCCCUGGACUCUGGGAUAACUUCGAGAAAUCGGAGCUAAUACCGGAUAGGACCUUGCACCGCAUGGUGUGGGGUGGAAAGUUUUUCGGUUUGGGAUGGACUCGCGGCCUAUCAGCUUGUUGGUGAGGUAAUGGCUCACCAAGGCGUCGACGGGUAGCCGGCCUGAGAGGGUGACCGGCCACACUGGGACUGAGACACGGCCCAGACUCCUACGGGAGGCAGCAGUGGGGAAUAUUGCACAAUGGGCGCAAGCCUGACGCAGCAACGCCGCGUGCGGGAUGACGGCCUUCGGGUUGUAAACCGCUUUUAGUAGGGAAGAAGCCUUCGGGUGACGGUACCUGCAGAGAAAGGACCGGCUAACUACGUGCCAGCCGCCGCGGUAACAC
rnacentral:rRNA from 1 species